AACGAUUCCACAGUUUUAGGUAUUUUUUUCAAGUCGAAAUUAGCCAGUUGUUCGCGGAGUUCACAGAGCUACGUCUGAGCAAUGCACUCAAUGCUCUUGCAGAAUAUGGAUAGAGCAGUGCAUAACUGAUAAUUAAAUAGUUUUGAUAAAAAUCUUCUUAUCACUACUCAGUGCUUCAAAAUACCCCCAUAUGCAUUGGCUAUUCUACAAAUGUAGCAAAG